UACGUAGGGGGCAAGCGUUGUCCGGAAUCAUUGGGCGUAAAGAGCGUGUAGGCGGCCAGAAAAGUCCGCUGUGAAAACUCGAGGCUCAACUUCGAGCUGUCGGUGGAAACUUUCUGGCUAGAGUCCGGAAGAGGAGAAUGGAAUUCCUGGUGUAGCGGUGAAAUGCGCAGAUAUCAGGAGGAACACCAAUUGCGAAGGCAGCUCGCUGGGACGUGACUGACGCUGAGACGCGAAAGCGUGGGGAGCAAACAGG
rnacentral:rRNA from 1 species